AGUUAUCCAGACCAUUACCAAUGCUUUUGGAUAGAAGUUUUCCAGGAGACGUUUUUCCAGGAGGUCUUACUUCUAAAAGGAAGCACACAGUGUGUUGUGUACUCACUUUAAUAUGUAAAGCAGUCUCACAUGGCCGAAUAAGCAUAUGGAACUCUUGCCAAGAGUGCAGAAAACAGUGACUCACCUUUAAUUUUUUCAUAAUAACAGUUGAUCAAGACACUUUAUUAUGCAAAUAAGUAACCCACUAACCCUGAAAUUUCUGUCUGACUUGUCAGAUUUCUCCUAAUAGAGAUGGUAUGUGGAGAAGACAGACUGGGUCAGGGUGUGGCUUCAUAUUGGGACAUGUUUGUGUGUUGCCUGCUGUGAAGAUACGGUGGCUCAAAGGGGAAAUGGCUUCACUCGGCAGUCAGGGGCCUCCGAACAAGAUGUUAUCUUACAGUGUGAGAAUGAGAGAAGGCAGGAAGAGAUGUGAUGCUGUGGACUUUCCUCAUCAUAGGCCACCAACCUACAAUACUCACCACAAGCCUUCAUUGUGGGAUUCUAAUGGGUACAGAGCCAAAACAUUAGCAGAGCUGAACACAGAGGAGCUUUGCCAGUGGUUUAGUAAUAUUGGUCUACAGAAAUGCCUGCCCUUCAUUAGAGAUGAGUUCUCCCCUAAGCAGCAGAUUGGAGAUUUGCCUGGCUCAGAGACGAGCCUAAUGGAGCUUCACUUAUGUAGGAAGGUAGACAGAAUUGCAUGUUGUAGUCGAAUAUUUCAAAGGAGUAAAUAA
ensembl:lncRNA